CGCGAGGCGGGCGGCGUUCCCGGGAGCCGGGCGCUCGGGCGGGGUUGGGGCUGGGGAGAGGCGGGCCGCGUGAGGCG
rnacentral:pre_miRNA from 1 species